rnacentral:rRNA from 1 species
GAUGAACGCUGGCGGCGUGCCUAAUACAUGCAAGUCGAGCGAACAGACGAGGAGCUUGCUCCCCUGACGUUAGCGGCGGACGGGUGAGUAACACGUGGAUAACCUACCUAUAAGACUGGGAUAACUUCGGGAAACCGGAUCUAAUACCGGAUAAUAUAUUGAACCGCAUGGUUCAAUAGUGAAAUACGGUUUUGCUGUUACUUAUAGAUGGAUCCGCGCCGCAUUAGCUAGUUGGUAAGGUAACGGCUUACCAAGGCAACGAUGCGUAGCCGACCUGAGAGGGUGAUCGGCCACACUGGACCUGAGACACGGUCCAGACUCUUACGGGAGGAAGCAGUAGGGAAUCUUCCGCAAUGGGCGAAAGCCUGACGGAGCAACGCCGCGUGAGUGAUGAAGGUCUUCGGAUCGUAAAACUCUGUUAUUAGGGAAGAACAAAUGUGUAAGUAACUAUGCACGUCUUGACGGUACCUAAUCAGAAAGCCACGGCUAACUACGUG